UACCCCACCUCAAAUCCUCUUGCUUUUUACAUUUUUUUAUUUUAAAAUUUCCCCCUCUUCUUAAACAGCAUAGUUUAGCUCUUCCAGCUUGUCUUCUAGUUUUCUCUGUUUUGUUUCAGAUCUUUCUCUUCUCACUCAGGCAACUCUGCUUCUAGGCAUCUCACUGGUAUCUCUAGUCUGGUCGCCGUUGCCAUCGCCGACGAGGGUAGCAGUGGCGGGUUCCCUUUUUCAUUCUUUUUCUUCCUCUUCUCUCUGGUGCCUUCUCUCUUUCCAUCUCCUCUUACGGUGGGUGAUUAUAUGGUUGAAGUCAAUGUCUUCGCAGGUGGAAGCCCGAAAGUUUUUCUCUAAUUUUCAUCAAUUUUUUUGAAGGAAGGGAUGUAGUAGUCUUUCUUAAUUAUUCUCCAUAUAUUUCCUUAAAUCAUAAUUUUCCUCCAAUUUUUCCAACCUCACCAAAUACAAGAAAGUACAAUUCAAGAAUUUUAUUUUCUUUUCUCUGGUGUUUUCCAUGAACCAGACCGGGCCGAAGAUUGUUUUUAUUUGUUCUGUCUGAUCUUCACAAUUGCGAAUUCUCUUGAUUCUUUAGGUUUUUCUUUCUUCUUCAGGCUUCAAGCUGUCGUUUUCCGAAUAGUUGGAGCUGCUGUGUCAGCAGAAGACGCCUCUUGAAAUUUGAAAGGAGAACUAAGCCUCCUGUACCACAUUGGAAAACCGGGCCUCCAACUCAACUUCUGCUUCUAAAUGCUUAUCCCUCAGACUAGAAAUGUUGGCCUUCCAAUGAUGAAUCUUUUGAGAUUCAAAGGAUUGCCUAUUUUGCAGCAACUACAUAUAGAGGAGCAACUGCUUCGGACCUCAUCAGAGAAUUGGUGUAUCAUCAAUGAUGGAACUAGUGAUCCUACCAUUGUAAUGGGCGUUUCGGGGAAACCUGCUGAACUUCUUGAAGUUGAAUCCGUGUUACGCGAUCAGGUUCCUGUCAUAAGAAGGUUUACAGGUGGAGGUACUGUUAUUGUUGACUGUGGGACAAUAUUUGUCACUUUCAUAUGCAGCAAAGAAGCAGUGCCUGACUUACAGCCAUAUCCUCGACCAAUCAUGUCUUGGAGCAGCUUAUUAUACGGCAAAGUCUUUCAAGGAAUUGGUGAUUUCCAUCUUCGUGAAAAUGAUUAUGUAUUUGGUAACCACAAGUUUGGUGGAAAUGCCCAAUCCAUUACCAAGAGUAGGUGGAUCCAUCACACGUCAUUUUUAUGGGACUUCGAGGUCAGGAACAUGACUUACCUGAAACUUCCUAAACGAGCUCCUGAAUAUCGAUCGAUGCUGGUGUGUCUUCUUUCUCUUGCCUGUAUCAAUUGACCAGAUGCUUCAUCGUUUGCUAUAUGUUGCAAUAUGAUAUUUAUUUUCUAUCCAUAUGGAUAUAUAAGUCCGAGGACGAGUUGGUGUCACGCAAUUCAGUCUCUCUUCUAAAACUAUUUACGCAAGGGGCCAUUUGGACUUCAUAUGCUGUAUGAAGGAUUACAUGACAAGAUCAACUUUCAUUAAUAAAACUGUGGAGGCAACUGGAACCCAGUUUUCACUGAGGUCUUAUCCAUUGGAAGCGAUUGAAACUGGC